rnacentral:tRNA from 1 species
GGGGCUGUAGCUCAAUGGUAGAGUGCUUGACUAGCACGCAUGAGGCACUGGGUUCAAUCCUCAGCCUUC